rnacentral:rRNA from 1 species
CCUACGGGUGGCUGCAGUGGGGAAUAUUAGACAAUGGGGGCAACCCUGAUCCAGCCAUGCCGCGUGUGUGAAGAAGGCCCUCGGGUUGUAAAGCACUUUCAGUGAGGAAGAACGCCUGGUGGUUAAUACCCAUCAGGAAAGACAUCACUCACAGAAGAAGCACCGGCUAACUCCGUGCCAGCAGCCGCGGUAAUACGGAGGGUGCGAGCGUUAAUCGGAAUUACUGGGCGUAAAGCGCGCGUAGGUGGCUUGAUAAGCCGGUUGUGAAAGCCCCGGGCUCAACCUGGGAACGGCAUCCGGAACUGUCAAGCUAGAGUGCAGUAGAGGAAGGUAGAAUUCCCGGUGUAGCGGUGAAAUGCGUAGAGAUCGGGAGGAAUACCAGUGGCGAAGGCGGCCUUCUGGACUGACACUGACACUGAGGUGCGAGAGCGUGGGUAGCGAACAGGAUUAGAUACCCGGGUAGUC